rnacentral:tRNA from 1 species
GGCCCCUUAGCUCAAUUGGAUAGAGCAGCGGACUUCUAAUCCGGAGGUUGUGGGUUCGAGUCCCGCAGGGGCCGCCA